rnacentral:rRNA from 1 species
UACGUAGGACCCGAGCGUUGUCCGGAUUUACUGGGUAUAAAGGGUGCGUAGGUGGUCUUGUGCGUCAGAGGUGAAAUCUCCGGGCUUAACCCGGAGGGUGCCUUUGAUACGGCAGGACUUGAGUGCGGGAGAGGGUGAUGGAAUUCCUGGUGUAGCGGUGAAAUGCGCAGAUAUCAGGAGGAACACCGAUGGCGAAGGCAGGUCUCUGGGCCACUACUGACGCUGAGAAGCGAAAGCAUGGGGAGCGAACAGG